UAUUAGAAAUAAUUAUUAGUAAAAUCUGCUCAAUGAAAUUUAAUAGCCGCUAUAUAGUGCUAAGGUAGCAUAAUCAUUUGUCUUUUAAUUUAAGACUAGAACAAAAGAUUUAACAUUUAAAUUUAUAUUUUUAUUAUAAUUAUAAAAAUUAUUCUAAUUGUAAAAAAACAAUUUUAGAAAAAAAAGACGAUAAGACCCUAUCGAACUUAACUUUAGUUUAACUGGGGUAGUUAAUUAAUUAAUAUUUUAAUAUUAUAUAAUAUAAUAUAAAUAGACCUAAUACAUUUAAAUAUAUAAUUAAGUUACCGUAGGGAUAACAGCGUAAUAAAAUUUUUAAGUUCUUAUUUAAAAUUAAGUUUACGACCUCGAUGUUGAUUUAAUUUUCUAAUUAACGCAAUAGUAAAUUAAGAAAGUCUGUUCGACUUUUAAAAAUUUACAUGA
rnacentral:rRNA from 1 species